GAUCUAUCCAUGGCCAGGAUGAAGCGUCGGUAAGACGUCGUGGAGGUCCGAACCCACUUCAGUUGAAAAUGGAGGGGAUGAGCUGUGGAUAGGGGUGAAAGGCCAAUCAAACACCGUGAUAGCUGGUUCUCCCCGAAAUGCAUUUAGGUGCAGCGUUGUGUGGUUCGUGUCGGAGGUAGAGCACUGGAUGGUCUAGGGGGCCUAUCAGCUUACCGAAACCAGCCAAACUCCGAAUGCCGGCACGUGGAGCGCAGCAGUGAGACGGCGGGGGAUAAGCUUCGUCGUCGAGAGGGAAACAGCCCAGAUCAUCAGCUAAGGCCCCUAAGUGAUAGCUAAGUGGAAAAGGAUGUGGAGUUGCGUAGACAACCAGGAGGUUGGCUUGGAAGCAGCCAUCCUUGAAAGAGUGCGUAAUAGCUCACUGGUCAAGUGAUUCCGCGCCGACAAUGUAGCGGGGCUCAAGUUAUCCGCCGAAGCUGUGGCAACUUUUUUUGAGUUGGGUAGGGGAGCGUCGUGUUCGUGGUGAAGCAGCCUGGUGAUGGGUUGUGGAGUGGAUGCGAGUGAGAAUGCAGGCAUGAGUAGCGAAUGACGGGUGGGAAACCCGUCCGCCGAAUAUCCAAGGGUUCCAGGGUCAAGUUAAUCUGCCCUGGGUGAGUCGGGACCUAAGGCGAGGCCGACAGGCGUAGUCGAUGGACGACCAGUUGAUAUUCUGGUACCGGUGUAGCACCGUCCGUGUCGAGGUGUGUGAUGCUAAGCGUGCGAGUGUCCUGGUGAUCCCUUCGGGGUGAUCUUGUGGCGUGAGUGUGUGAACCGAUCAUGUAGUAGACAAGCUGCGGAGGGACACAGUGAGGUAGCUCGUCCCCGGCGAUGGUUGUCCGGGGCUAAAUGUGUGGACUGUCUGGUAGGUAAAUCCGUCAGACGUUGAGUUGAGGCAUGAUGGCGAGCCAUGUUUGUGUGGUGAGCGAGUGAUCCUGUGCUGUCGAGAAAAGCUUCGUGAGCGAGGUGUGAGCCGCCCGUACCCUAAACCGACACUGGUGGAUUGGUAGAGUAUACCGAGGCGAUCGAGAGAAUCAUGGUGAAGGAACUCGGCAAAAUGCCCCCGUAACUUUGGAAGAAGGGGGACCUGAGCUGUUGCCGCCACGUGCUGGUGGUUGCGGUGAGGGGCGCAGAGAAUUGGGGGAAGCGACUGUUUACCAAAAACACAGGUCCGUGCGAAGUCGUAAGACGAUGUAUACGGACUGACUCCUGCCCGGUGCUGGAAGGUUAAGGGGAACUGUUAGCUUUGGCGACGCGGUGAACUUAAGCCCCAGUAAACGGCGGUGGUAACUAUAACCAUCCUAAGGUAGCGAAAUUCCUUGUCGGGUAAGUUCCGACCUGCACGAAUGGAGUAACGACUUCCCUACUGUCUCCACCAUGAACUCGGUGAAAUUGCAUUACGAGUAAAGAUGCUCGUUACGCGCAGCAGGACGGAAAGACCCCGGGACCUUCACUAUAGUUUGGUAUUGGUGAUCGGUUCGACUUGUGUAGGAUAGGUGGGAGACUGUGAAGCUGUCACGCUAGUGGUGGUGGAGUCGUUGGUGAAAUACCACUCUGGUCGUUCUGGUUAUCUAACGUUGGGCCAUGAUCUGGUUCACGGACAGUGCCUGAUGGGUAGUUUGACUGGGGCGGUCGCCUCCUAAAAGGUAACGGAGGCGCCCAAAGGUUCCCUCAUCCUGGUUGGUAAUCAGGUGUCGAGUGUAAGUGCACAAGGGAGCUUGACUGUGAGACAGACAUGUCGAGCAGGGACGAAAGUCGGGACUAGUGAUCUGACGGUGGCUUGUGGAUGCGCCGUCACUCAACGGAUAAAAGGUACCCCGGGGAUAACAGGCUGAUCAUUCCCAAGAGUCCAUAUCGACGGGAUGGUUUGGCACCU
rnacentral:rRNA from 1 species